AGGACGAACGCUGGCGGCGUGCUUAACACAUGCAAGUCGAGCGGAAAGGCCCUUCGGGGUACUCGAGCGGCGAACGGGUGAGUAACACGUGAGCAACCUGCCCUUAGCUCCGGGAUAGCUCCGGGAAACCGGAAUUAAUACCGGAUAUGACCUAGGCCGACAUCGGCUGUGGUGGAAAGUUUUUCGGCUGGGGAUGGACUCGCGGCCUAUCAGCUUGUUGGUGGGGUAAUGGCCUACCAAGGCGACGACGGGUAGCCGGCCUGAGAGGGCGACCGGCCACACUGGGACUGAGACACGGCCCAGACUCCUACGGGAGGCAGCAGUGGGGAAUCUUGCGCAAUGGGCGAAAGCCUGACGCAGCGACGCCGCGUGGGGGAUGAAGGCCUUCGGGUUGUAAACCCCUUUCAGCAGGGACGAAGCGAAAGUGACGGUACCUGCAGAGAAGCGCCGGCUAACUACGUGCCAGCAGCCGC
rnacentral:rRNA from 1 species